rnacentral:rRNA from 1 species
AUUGAACGCUGGCGGCAUGCCUUACACAUGCAAGUCGAACGGUAACAGGUCUUCGGAUGCUGACGAGUGGCGAACGGGUGAGUGAUACAUCGGAACGUGCCUAGUAGUGGGGGAUAACUACUCGAAAGAGUGGCUAAUACCGCAUGAGAUCUACGGAUGAAAGCAGGGGAUCGCAAGACCUUGUGCUACUAGAGCGGCCGAUGGCAGAUUAGGUAGUUGGUGGGAUAAAAGCUUACCAAGCCGACGAUCUGUAGCUGGUCUGAGAGGACGAUCAGCCACACUGGGACUGAGACACGGCCCAGACUCCUACGGGAGGCAGCAGUGGGGAAUUUUGGACAAUGGGCGAAAGCCUGAUCCAGCAAUGCCGCGUGCAGGAUGAAGGCCUUCGGGUUGUAAACUGCUUUUGUACGGAACGAAAAGCCCUGGGUUAAUACCCUGGGGUCAUGACGGUACCGUAAGAAUAAGCAUCGGCUAACUACGUGCCAGCCGCCGCCGUAA